rnacentral:rRNA from 1 species
UUACCUGCGGCAGGCCUAACACAUGCAGUCGAACGGUAACAUAAAAAAGCUUGCUUUUUUGAUGACGAGUGGCGCACGGGUGCGUAACGCGUAUACAAUCUGCCUUUUACAGGGGGAUAGCCUUUGGAAACGAAGAUUAAUACCCCAUGGUAUAUAGGAGUGGCAUCACUUUUAUAUUAAAGCUCCGGCGGUAAAAGAUGAGUAUGCGUUCUAUUAGCUAGUAGGUGCGGUAACGGCGCACCUAGGCAACGAUAGAUAGGGGCCCUGAGAGGGGGAUCCCCCACACUGGUACUGAGACACGGACCAGACUCCUACGGGAGGCAGCAGUGAGGAAUAUUGGACAAUGGGCGAGAGCCUGAUCCAGCCAUGCCGCGUGCAGGAAGACUGCCCUAUGGGUUGUAAACUGCUUUUGUACGGGAAGAAACCCACCUACGUGUAGGUGGCUGACGGUACCGUAAGAAUCAGCAUCGGCUAACUCCGUGCCAGCAGCCGCGGUAAUACGGAGGAUGCAAGCGUUAUCCGGAAUCAUUGGGUUUAAAGGGUCCGUAGGUGGAUUAAUAAGUCAGAGGUGAAAGCCUGCAGCUCAACUGUAGAACUGCCUUUGAUACUGUUAAUCUUGAAUUAUUGUGAAGUAGUUAGAAUAUGUAGUGUAGCGGUGAAAUGCAUAGAUAUUACAUAGAAUACCGAUUGCGAAGGCAGAUUACUAACAAUAUAUUGACACUGAUGGACGAAAGCGUGGGGAGCGAACAGGAUUAGAUACCCUGGUAGUCCACGCCGUAAACGAUGGUCACUAGCUGUUCGGGAUUCGUCCUGAGUGGCCAAGCGAAAGUGAUAAGUGACCCACCUGGGGAGUACGUUCGCAAGAUGAAACUCAAAUGAAUUGACGG